rnacentral:rRNA from 1 species
UACAGAGGGGGCAAGCGUUAUUCGGAAUUAUUGGGCGUAAAGGGCGCGUAGGCGGCCUGACAAGUGGACGGUGAAAUCCCUCGGCUUAACCGAGGAACUGCCUGUCAAACUGCGAGGCUUGAGACCGGGAGAGGUGAGUGGAAUUCCCAGUGUAGCGGUGAAAUGCGUAGAUAUUGGGAGGAACACCAGUGGCGAAGGCGGCUCACUGGACCGGUACUGACGCUGAUGCGCGAAAGCGUGGGGAGCAAACAGG